UACGUAGGGUGCGAGCGUUGUCCGGAAUUAUUGGGCGUAAAGGGCUCGUAGGCGGUCUGUCGCGUCGGUAGUGAAAACUCAGGGCUUAACCCUGAGCCUGCUUCCGAUACGGGCAGACUAGAGGUAUGCAGGGGAGAAUGGAAUUCCUGGUGUAGCGGUGAAAUGCGCAGAUAUCAGGAGGAACACCGGUGGCGAAGGCGGUUCUCUGGGCAUUACCUGACGCUGAGGAGCGAAAGUGUGGGGAGCGAACAGG
rnacentral:rRNA from 1 species